GUAGGGAAUAUUGGGCAAUGGAGGCAACUCUGACCCAGCCAUGCCGCGUGCAGGAUGACGGCCCUCUGGGUUGUAAACUGCUUUUAUACGGGAAGAAAAAAUACUACGUGUAGUAUAAUGACGGUACCGUAAGAAUAAGGAUCGGCUAACUCCGUGCCAGCAGCCGCGGUAAUACGGAGGAUCCAAGCGUUGUCCGGAUUUAUUGGGUUUAAAGGGUGCGUCGACGGAUCUUUAAGUCAGUGGGUAAAACCUGCAGCUUAACUGUAGAAUUGCCAUUGAAACUGAAGAUCUUGAAUGUGGUUAAAGUAGGCGGAAUGUAUCAUGUAGCGGUGAAAUGCUUAGAUAUGAUACAGAACACCGAUAGCGAAGGUAGCUUGCUGAACCAUUAUUGACGCUGAGGCACGAAAGCGUGGGGAGCGAACAGGAUUAGAAACCCGGGUAGUCC
rnacentral:rRNA from 1 species